CCGGAUCUGUCUUCUACAGAGGGUCCCUCAUACCCGGCUUUCCACACUGGCCCAAGUCUGUGCAGCGGGUCGCCGAAAACACCGUGGGACCCCGUCAGCCUCCCUCACAUUCUCCCCAAGAUGAGAAAUCUCUAUUCCCGUCUGUUUCCAACCUGAAAUCUUUCCCUGUUCAAGCGGGCAAACAGUAACCGUCUGUGGCCAGAGCCGGGUGCUUUGGACGGGGAGGGAUCCUGGGUGCUCCGGGAGCAGGGGUCGCUGAGCGCCGGUAACGCCUCUCCUUCUCGGGGGAGCCCACAGCAAAGGAGUCCGAUCGGGGGGCUGUUUUCCCUCCCUCCCUCCGCCUCUGACACAGGCACAGCCGCCCCGGUUCUGUGCCCCUGUGGCUGAGUUCUCAGUUAGAAGAGCCUGUGGGGGUCCCCUCAGACACGCCCGGAGGAGCCCCCGUCGGGGCGGUCGCUCCCGCGCCCGUGCCCCCGGAGCUCAGGGGAGAGAACAUGGCAUUUCACCCUCCUCUCCCUCGGGAACAGGGCCCAGGCUGAUGAGGGCACUGCACCGCCUCAACAUUUGCUUCUGAGCUUUUGCUGAGUGAAAGUACUCUUCCAGUCCUCAACCGUGACGGAAAAGUGGCCUCCUUCCUCCGACCGGCCCAAGCAGUUCUGCAGAAAAGUAUCUGUUCUAGAUGUCUUCCUUGGCUGACAGCUCUGAAGAAUCAAAUGUUCAAAAUAGACUGGCUUAUUUAAACUCCUCCCCAGGGAGCAGUUCCACACUGUUAUCCAGCUUGCAGUUCCUAGAGCAUAAAUUAAUUCAAGCUGCAUUCACUGCUCAUUUUUUUGAGCUGUAUUAACAUGGGCAGUGAGAAAUUGUUGGGUGUGUGGCAGCAUUUUCACAGAUAUACAGAAGCACUGGCCACUUACUCCAUUGCAGGACAAACCUAACCUGUGUAUAGCAAAAAUGAUGCUUGCCCUGGAAAAGGAUGACCAGAGACCCUAAGAGAGUCUAUAGUUUUACACUGAAAUGUGAGAAUGUGAGUAUCACCUGGGAACACCCUAAAAUCACAAGGUCUAAAAAAUAGGAUAGUCAACCCUGGCCUAUGGGAAUGUAGAAGGUCUGGAUUUAGUAAAAUGUUAGGACUUCUCAGGGGAAGAAGCUGUUCAGUAUUUUGAAGAGUGGUUCAUCAUUCCAGCAGCUGGUCUAAGCUUCUGCUACUGCUUCAGGUACUUCAAGAGUGAAUUUGAAAACUGUUGAGUAGUUUAAAGAGACUGACAACAUGAAAAUUAUUUAGAUCACCACACAGCUUCCAUCACCUGGGUUCAGUUCUCUGUGCAGCUACAGAUGAGACAAGGUAAGAAUCAAAUUUAAUUCAUUCCUCCUCCAUCCCUUUCUAGCCAAUAAGGCAGCUGCCUAAGUAUUUCUGCUGUGCAUGUAGUUUUAAGUUUACUCCAUUUUAUGUGUUAAGGUGGGAUGAUUGAGAGGGAAUCCAACAUCUGAACUUUCCUUCAGUCCCUCCUAAAGAGAAAAACCCCUCUCUUCCAUCCAAACACUUUCAUAGCUCAUCAGUUGACUUUGCCAUUACCCAUUGAACAAACCAUUUUCUCCUUUUCAGGAUCUGUGAAUAUUUGCCUCAAAAUCCAUCCAUUCCCAGAAAUCCUUUAAAUCUUUCCUAUUAUCCUUAGAGGUAGCUGUAACUUCAGCCUCUGCAGACAACUCUCCCUGCCCUUUCAGGGCCAUUUCUUUUUGUUGCUGUGAUGUGAAGUUUUUUCUUGUGAUUAAGUGGGAUGUCCACCAGAGCUGAGACUUCAGCUGUGAAACCUGGGGUCUACAAACACUUCAUCUAAGUAUUAACUAUCAAGCUGUUGUCAGGAAAACAAAAGAGCUGGACUGGAAUGGCCAACUGGAAACCUGCUGUAUUAACUGAAAGACAACAGAGAGUAGAGAUAUGAUACAUCUUUGAUAUGAUCAAAUAUAAUCAAAACUAAAGCAAGCAAAGGCCCAAUCCCAGAAAAGACUUUGUCAGGUGUUUAGCUGUAAUUUCUCUGUUUAUUCCUUACAGCCUUAUUCAAAGCCAGAAACGUCUCUGACCUUGUUCCUUUAAUAAUAGCCAUGUGUGAUAGACUUCCAAAAGUAACUCAUGUAAUUUCUCUUGGGCUAUAUAAUAAAAUGGCAUAUACGUGGAAAUAUUACAGUGAUGUUAUACUGAAAAUAAAUCUGUGAAUCAUUAUCACUCAAAAUGA